rnacentral:rRNA from 1 species
AGUGAACGCUGGCGGCAGGCCUAACACAUGCAAGUCGAACGGCAGCACAAGAGAUCUUGCUCUCUGGGUGGCGAGUGGCGGACGGGUGAGGAAUGCAUCGGAAUCUGCCCAUUUGUGGGGGAUAACCUCGGGAAACCGGGACUAAUACCGCAUACGUCCUACGGGUGAAAGCAGGGGAUCUUCGGACCUUGCGCAGAUGGAUGAGCCGAUGCUGGAUUAGCUAGUUGGAGGGGUAAAGGCCCACCAAGGCGACGAUCCGUAGCUGGUCUGAGAGGAUGAUGGGCCACACUGGAACUGAGACACGGCCCAGACUCCUACGGGAGGCAGCAGUGGGGAAUAUUGGGCAAUGGGCGCAAGCCUGAUCCAGCCAUGCCGCGUGUGUGAAGAAGGCCUUCGGGUUGUAAAGCACUUUUGUUGGGAAAGAAAAGCAGCCGGUUAAUACCCGGUUGUCAUGACGGUACCCAAAGAAUAAGCACCGGCUAACUUCGUG